ensembl:lncRNA
GAAUUGCUGGCCAUACACUGUAAACCUUUCUACUCGCCUAUAGGAAAUAUCUUCCAUAAUCCUCGCGUGCGUCUACGUUCAGCCAGAGCUGCGACACUUCCAUUGGACUCCGUUGUAGCGCCUACUUCCGGGGUAUGGAGCCUCGAAUAGUUCCAAACAACCAUUUUACGGCGUAGGAGACCGUUCAUUUCCAUUGCUGGCCGCCGAGUAACUUCUGAGGGUGAUGUUCAGCACAUGAAGCCCUACAGAUGCCGCCGAUUCAACAAUGCUGAUUAUGAUGGGCGGUGAAUUUAACCUUUGCCUUAUUAGGUCCUCCACAGUCGCCCCA